rnacentral:rRNA from 1 species
CCUACGGGAGGCAGCAGUGGGGAAUAUUGCGCAAUGGGCGAAAGCCUGACGCAGCGGCGCCGCGUGAGGGAUGAAGGUCUUCGGAUCGUAAACCUCUGUCAGCAGGGAAGAACGGUCACUGUGCUAAUCAUCAGUGAAUUGACGGUACUCGCAAAGGAAGCACCGGCUAACUACGUGCCAGCAGCCGCGGUAAUACGGAGGGUGCGAGCGUUAAUCGGAAUUACUGGGCGUAAAGCGCUCGUAGGCGGUAUGUCAAGUCAAGGGUGAAAUCCCCGGGCUCAACGUGGGAACUGCCUUUGAGACUGGCAGGCUGGAGUGUGUGAGAGGGUAGUGGAAUUCCAGGUGUAGGAGUGAAAUCCGUAGAUAUCUGGAAGAACAUCAGUGGCGAAGGCGACUAUCUGGGACAUAACUGACGCUGAGAAGCGAAAGCGUGGGUAGCAAACAGGAUUAGAUACCCCAGUAGUC